CGGGGGCUUGAACAGGAGCGCCUAAGGAGCUUUUGAAAAGCAUCCCUUUGACAAACAUUUACUGAACACCUAUUAAACGCCAGGUCCAGCGCUGGUGCUGUGAACGCCACGGGGGGUGGAACAAGCCAAAGGGUCUCUGCCUUCCUGGGGCUGAUGUUUUGGAAAAGAUGCAGAUGUGAGCAUAGACCACGCAGCGCAGUCAGUGUUACAAAGGGAGAAGGCGGGGCCUGUGCGAGUGGAGGAGCCCUGGGAUCAGCCAGGCUUCCCAGAGGAAGUCACAUCUCAGCCGAGUCCCCAGGAAUUGCGGAGGGGCAGGUGGGCAGAGAGAGCAUUCAGGGAGGCCAGCAGCCCACCUUCCCUCCCAGAGGAGCAGGAAUCCUCCCCACGUCUUGGCAGGCAGGGGGUCCCCCAGCUUCUGGCAAAGCCCAAGGCUGGGGGCUCACAUCGGGGCAAGUCCACGCACUCAGAAUGCCUGCUCUCACUCUUAGAAAUCCCUUCUCCUGACCCCAAGCCUACCUACUCAGCCUCCUAAUUAGUAGCAAUAAGAGCCUAACAUUUUGUUCCUUCCGUGGUUGCACCUGCCAGGUACUUCACAUGACAGGGACUUCUAUUAACUUUUUUUUUGGUCAUACCUUAGCAUGUGGAAGUUCUGGGGCCAGGGAUGGAACCCAUGCCACAGCUGUAACCAGAGCCACUGCAGUGGCAACACCGGAUCCUUAACUUGCUGGGCCACGAGGGAACUCCAAGCUCCACUUUCCAAAUGUGAAAUCCGAGGUUCAGAACCGAUGCCCUUUUCCCCGGCCCCUACAUGCCAGGCCCAAACCCCAGGGAGCUGUGCCUUCAGGGUCCCUAACCCUCACUGUGUCCUGCUGAGCUAGGUUCGCCCGAGGCCUUCCCUGGGGAACCACGCAGAAGAGGAGCUUGGGCCCCCCCCCGUCCCUCCAGCAGGCCGGCCGGCCGGGCGUUGGCCUCCAGCCCCUACGAAGCUCCGAGGGACACAAUGGCGGGGGCUGUGGGGGGAGGCGAGGGCGCGGGUGCCCCCCUGCCCGCUGCCCUUUGUCUCCCCGCUCGCCCCCCUCGUGCACCCCGGGAGGCUGGGAGGCGCCUCUCGCAGGCUUCCUCCUCCCAUUCUUGUGCUAAUUGGGUGUCAAGCUGAGAUCAGUGAGAAAGAAAUCCGCCCGGCUCGGGUUAAACUGCCGCCAAAGACGCGGGCCGAGCCCAGAAUAUCAUUAGGCUGGGAGGAAGCAGGGCCCCCUCCUCCCGGGGAGGGGCUGGCCACGCAUUCAGGCCCCUUUGAAAGUCACUCGGUGGCCCCUCCCCUGGCCGCCAGCGCCUCAAUAGGCCCCUUGGAGGUAUUUAACCUUCUUCCCAGGAACUGAAAGUGAUAUGCCAAGCACUGGCCAGGGCGGCCACUUGCCUGUCCGAGGGCGGCAGGGCCUCCGGGGAUACUCAAGGCAGGCCCCUUCCACCUCCCUGAAUCCCUGCCCAGCCUGCAGAUAGGAAGGCGGAGGUUUGUGGCCCAGCGCUGCUACUCACAGGCCCUGUGGUCUAUGGCGAAUCUCAGCCUCCCUGAGCCUCAGGCUCCUUAUCUGUGGAAUGAGGAUUUUAAAAUCCUGCUUGGAGUUCUGAUGGCUCUCAGCAGGUUAAGGACGUGGCGCUACCACUGCUGUGGCUCGGUUCCCUGCUGUGGUGUGGGUUCCAUCCUGGCCCUGGAACUUCGCCUGAUGUAGGUACAGUCAAAAAAAAAAAAAAAAAAA
rnacentral:lncRNA from 1 species